AAAUAAGAGAAAACACAAACGACUCAACGUUAAAAUGCAACACACACAGAAACGAACAAUAAUUUAACAAUGACCAUCUUCCUGACUUGGUACAGGACAAUUUUAACGGGGAAUAAAAGUGGUGGGUUGAACCUGGUUUUGUGGCAUGCCAAACCUCGCACUUUAAUGGCAAAGUUAAAUAUAACAUUGAAAUGACAACAUAAUAUUACAGGACUACAAUACAAAUAAAUAGAACAUAUUAGACAAAGAAAAACAUGAUUAAUAGAUAACAAAAAGCAUCAGGUUUAAAAUUCAAUACGCCAAAAACGCGCCUUGUCC
rnacentral:lncRNA from 1 species